GAAGAUCGAUCUCGAAUCGGAUAUUGCACUUUUCUUUCCCCUUUCGUUUUCCUCCCCCGAAAGCCCAAACACAACAGAAAACUUUAAUUUUUCGCUCUUUUUUUUUUUCCGCUUUCCAAACGCGCCCCCCCGAAUCUCACGAAAUAUCUAUUUCCUCUCUCUCAGAUCCGACAACGAAGCGAAAUUCGGAGAUAUAUCGGAUAUGGCCGUGUGAGCCGCUAGGAAAGAUUGCGGUUUUCCUGUGUUUGUGUGAAUGAUGGGUGAGGAGGAGGUGGAGAUGACCGAGUAUGAGGAGCGAGUGGCGGAGUGGGAGGCGGGGCUUCCGAACGCUGACGAUCUCACGCCGUUGUCCCAGCCGUUGAUCCCGCCGGAGCUGGCCUCGGCGUUCAGCAUAUCGCCGGAACCGUACCGGACCGCGCUCGAGGUCAACCGGGCGUCGCGGACCACGCUUUCCACGCUCUCCAAGGGGCUGGGGUUCUCUACCAGCAACAACUUCAAAUCCUUCGCCGAGAACCCCGCCGGAGAACCGAUGGUGGUGGUGGAGGAGCCCGACGAGACCAUCGAUCGGGACGGGUCGGGGUCGGGCUCCGGUAGCGACCCGAGAAAGUGUAGAAGAAUCGACUGCGCGGAGCUCGAGGCCGAUUCAGCGCUCCGAGCGGAGAACUCGAGCGACGACCCUUCGUCGACCGCGCGGGCCCUGAAACGGUCGCGUUUGGUGUGGACCCCGCAGCUGCACAAGCGGUUCGUGGACGUGGUGGGCCACCUGGGGAUCAAGAACGCGGUGCCCAAAACCAUCAUGCAGCUGAUGAACGUGGAGGGCCUGACCCGCGAGAACGUGGCGAGCCACCUCCAGAAGUAUCGGCUCUACCUGAAGAGAAUGCAAGGGUUGCCCGGCGACGUGGGCCCCUCUGGCACUCUCUCUUCGACGUCGGAUCACCAGCUGUUUGCGUCGACGCCGAUGCCGUCGCACGAGGCCGCAGCGCACGUGCCGAUGCCGAUUCAUAUGCAAUAUCCGCCGCCGCCGCCGAUGAUGCAGAUACCAGUUCUCGGGGUCGGGCACAUGGGUGUGCCUGUGGGGAAUCACGGGUUUGAGUCGCAUGGUGCGUACGGUAUGAUGCAACAGAGGGAUUGGGCGUACCAUCCUCAUGUUGGGUCUAAUCAAGGGUAGAUAGAGAUUGAGAAGUUGGACAAAUCGGUUGAAGCUAAAGUCUUGCAGCUCAACCUAUAAGGUUACUUCGUUGGUAAUCUUGAACCUCACAGAUGUGGGAGAUGUUCUUAGGAAUUAUAUGGAGACACUUCAAAUCCCUUCUCCUAUAUAUCUUGGAAUUUCGUAUGAACCAGGCUAAGUAACACACUUUGGCUCAGUAUAUAUGGUUGUUUUUAGUUUCAGGAUAGCAGCAGGGGGUUGUGGUUUAUUAUUUUUAGGCUAUCUAGUUCACACCAAGUCAUGAAAUACAUUCUUAACAUUUACUAUAAUUCAUAAAUUUUAUUCUCUUGAGUAUUAAUUGAAUGUAUAAAAAACCUUAUUUUUCUGCAUAAAAGCAAAGAGCCAAUAGAAAGGCUUAGCAAAAGUGAGUUAGCUGCCAGUUCUGGGGGUUUAAACACUUGCUUUUAGUUUAUUGCAUGUGAUAUGGUUUUCCGUUACUGCCUGCCUGCAUAAGAUUUUUGGAUUAUUUACAGUAUGCUUUUGUGUAGAUUCAGAAGUUGAGCAUACUUGGUUGAAGCUAACUCUUGCAACUCAACCUAUAAGGUUGCUUCGUUGGUAAUCUUGAGCCUCACAGAGGGAUAUGUUGCUCCAAGUUUAUUCUGAAGGGAGCUUGCUGGAGGCCGUAAGGCAUCUACAAUGGCAGUUAUGCUCAAUUGCUGAUAUACACAUUGAUGUGUGAUGCUGCUGUCAAUCAAGAUGAUUACCAGUUUACCUCCCAUAGAGAUUUACCAUUUUGAAGUAUAAUUUUGUUUUUUCCAAUUAGUGCUGCUUGUGCUUGGAAAGCAUGUCAGACUGAAGCCUGCUUAAUAAAUAAUUAUUGAAUGGAAUUUGUAUGAGUUUUGGUUGGUUUCUAAAUAACAUUAUCUCACUGGUUGAUGCCGUU